UGUGGGAGCGGGCUUGCUCGCGAAAGCGGUGGGUCUGCUUGCAGGUGUGGUGAAUGGGCUGCCGUCAUCGCGAGCAAGCUCGCUCCCACA
rnacentral:misc_RNA from 1 species